AAGCCCUGUGUAAAAGGCCGUACUUUGACCUGUGUUUGUUAUUGUCAGGUUGAGAACAACCCUCCCUCAGACAAGGGGUCAUUUUACUGAUGUAGAAAAGAAAAUAGAAAUACCAAGGAUUUGUAUAGUUCUUCUAUAAAAAAACUUUGAAAAUUUGGAAUUUUGUACUCAAAAAGGGGAGAGUUACAUCAUAUUUUAAACAACUUUUUCUAAAAGAGGGGUCUACUUAUUUUGAAUAAUAUUAAACUGUUAAAGUAAAUGUGUUAAUUUAACAUGGUUAAAGUCCAGGAAUAUUACAAAAUUCUUGGACAUGUUUUGACCAUUUAAUACUAGCUAUAGAUAGAUAUAUAGUUCUUUGAGAAAAUAUGAGCCCUUUUGUACAAACAAAUAUAUAUAACUUAUAUGAAUCAUCAUAAACAUGUAAAAGGGAUAUUUAUAAAAUUAAGGGGUUGCCCCCAAACUGAUUAUGACUUGGAUGGAGAAUUGUAUCAUUGUCAGUCACACAUACAUAGACCAGAUUUAAUUAUUUCUUGGUGAACAGGGAAAAAAUACUUCAGAAAUUAAAAAAUGUCAAAGUACAAGUUAUAAAUCAAGUUUUAAUAUUAUCAAAACCUACUAUUUUAUGUUUACAAAAAAAAAUAUAAUCGCUCGCCUUUACUUUUCAAGCUUCGCCUCAAAAAAUUUCAAAUUAAAUAUUUUUUAUUAAAAUUUUCAAAUCGCUCGCUCGCCCCAAAUUUUGGAGUCCAAAAAUCCGUAGAACAAGAAAUUAAUUUGGUGUGGCC
rnacentral:lncRNA from 1 species